rnacentral:tRNA from 1 species
GCUGCGAUGGCCGAGUGGUUAAGGCGUUGGACUUGAAAUCCAGUGGGAUCUUCCCGCGUAGGUUCGAACCCUACUCGCAGCG